rnacentral:lncRNA from 1 species
UUUCAACAUGUGGGUUCUCUCUCAGGUAUCGAAUAAUAUCACUAGACAAUCUCUCCAUCAAAGGUCUCGUGCAAAAGUGUGUGCCAUCUUGGAAUUUAAAGUACAAAUCGGUCGAUACAAGCUUCAAAAAGACAACCUUACUCAACUACGUUCAAAUUAUCUAAAAGACACUACAUAUAUAUACUUUUCGAAAACAUGCUAAACACCAACUACUCCUAAAGUUCGAGUGAGGGAAAGACAACUUAGCUAAAACAUCUCUAUUUUUGGAUUUUCUAAUUUUUUAAUUUUUAGGGAUUUUCAUUUUUUUAAGAAUUACACUAAAGCCCUCCCCAUACCUAAAUCAUGCAUUGUCCUCAAUGUAUGCAAAAGAGAGAAUUGAAAUGAGAGAGUAAAGAGGAAAAAUACCUGAAUAGGAGAUGAAAGAGAUUUUUAUUAACUACUGAAGCAACUUACAUGAUCAAAGGUCGAUGAGGUGGAUGACCUCUUCCUCCGAAUCAACAGGCAAUUCUAAAAAUGGUUUAAGUGGCCCUCCAUGUGUCCCUUAGUUGCCAACUCUUUUUUUCUUCUUUUCUUUUCCCUUUUCUUCUUUUUCUUGCAUUUUCUCUUCUUUCUUUAUUUAUCUACAAUUUCCUGAAAUAAAAUAAAUAAGCGAUUAAUACUACGAAAAUAAACAAAAAAUAGGUACUUAAAUAUGCAAAAUAUGGACUAAUCAAACUUCCCCAUACCUAUCUUUUGCUCGUCCUCGAGUAAAAAUCAAAAGAAAAGAAAAUAAACUAAGAAAACUAGAUGCGAUUCCUAGGCUCCUUUUCGUAGGCGUGACGGGUGAUUUUAGGUUCACCAACCCGUUAAACUCGUAGACGAUCUCUACAAGAGGAGUUUUGUCUCCUAAGGGUUUACAGAAGAUAUACCCAUAAAAUCUUCGAGACAUUCUAGCAAGUGUCUACUCGACUCUACUCUAAUUUCGUUGGUGUUAACAAAAAGUGUUUUUAAGGAAAAUACGACUUAAAGACUCAUCUACUAAUAAUCAAGAUACAGUUAGUCUCUAAUCUACUUGCAUCGACACAAAGAUUUACUAGAAUCCAAGGAGUGUAAGUAAUUUAAGGCCUUUGAUGGAUCCUAAUCGUCUAAGAAUAUUUUCUCUUUUUCAACCAAUUUUGAACUGACCCAAUCUCUAUCGAAACAAAUAUCUAGCCAAACUUCACAAACUCUUAUUCUUCUUUUUUUCUUUUUUUUUUCUUUUUUUUUGCAUUGACUUUAUUUUGUCCGUUUUCUUAGGCUAACAGUGUUACCCAUGUAGCGAGCUUUAGGUCAGUGACUCCCAAACCAAACGGUCUUAGGGCACUAGGUUUUGAAAUCCCCCGGUGGACUUAAUUGCUCGAGUAACAAAGGCCACAAAACGAGACUAGCCAAUCUACUUUUGCCCAUUUAUCUAAAGAUUUAAUCUAUAAAGAACAAUGGGUAUUGAAGUAGUUAUUCUUUUUCUUUUUCUAUUUUUUUCUAUCUCUUUUUUUUUCUUUUUUUUAUUCGCAAAGGUUCGAUUCGACAUUGUUUCAACAUGUGGGUUCUCUCUCAGGUAUCGAAUAAUAUCACUAGACAAUCUCUCCAUCAAAGGUCUCGUGCAAAGUGUGUGCCAUCUUGGAAUUUAGAGUACAAAUCGGUCGAUACAAGCUUCAAAAAGACAACCUUACUCAACUACGUUCAAAUUAUCUAAAAGACACUACAUAUAUAUACUUUUCGAAAACAUGCUAAACACCAACUACUCCUAA